CUCCAACAGAGAAACUUCGUUGUUUCUUCACCUUGGUGGUUUGAUCUAGAGAGGAGAUGAUGAAAAUUGAGAGAAAAGGAUCAUGUAAUUAUUGUUGUAGUAGUAUUGAUUGAAGGAAUCGAUUCAAGCUACGGGAAAGGAUAAAUCAGGUGCUGUGAGUUGCUCGCAGUGCGAAGAUAAUGGGGUGAAUUUUGUUGACCACUUUGACAGAAGGUUCAAGGCAGGUGGUUUAGGUUCGCUUUGCAGGACAUGCUCAUUGCUGGAACCGAUGCAUCUUCUUCGACGCUUGUGUGGGCAAUGACAGAAAUAAUUAGGAGUCCAACAGUGAUGGAAAGAUUACAAGAGGAAGUGAGAAGAAUUCUCGGCAAUAAGAACAUGGUACACGAAAUUGAUCUUCCCAAACUGAACUACUUGAAAUUAGUGGUUAAAGAGACACUGCGGAUUCAUCCUCCGGGACCAUUACUAGUUCCAAGGGAAACUAGAUAUGCGUAAUAAAGGGGUACGACAUCCCAGCCAAAACAAAGGUAUUCUUUAAUGCAAAAGCUAUUGCAAUAGACCCUAAGUUUUGGGAAGACCCUGAAGAGUUCCGACCAGAAAGAUUCAUAACUAAGAACAUAGAAUUUAAGGAGUUCCGACCAGAAAGAUUCAUAACUAAGAACAUGGAAUUUAAGGGCAAGACUUUGAGAUGGUACCAUUUGGGAUUGGACGGAGGGGUUGCCCUGGUAUUGACUCUGAUUUGGUCAUAAUUGAACUUGUUCUUGCAGAUCUUCUCUACUGUUUUAACUGGGAAUCUUCUCCUGUUAUCGCAAUGCACAAGAAGAUUCCACUCUUAUUGGUUGCUGCCGCUGCAAAUGUAUAUCCAAGUGCAUAAGAAGUUGGGAAGCAGCUCAUCAAAGGCGGCCUGGGUGAUGCCUAAAUAAAGACACACGAGUUAAGUAUCCCGCAAAAUUGGAAGAAGAUUUUUCUCAAUAAGAAGGUUUGCUAUUAGCCGAUCCAAACUAUUUCUACGUAGUGGUAAUGUCUUGCUUGUAAGGUGAUAACAUUCUAAGCACAAGAUCAUGCAUGGUAUCAUCCAUGUCUUGCCAUCAGAUCGCUUGUGUUUUGUUAUUUUUUCAACAAUUUUUAUAUAUUAGAAAUGAGCAAAUUACAACUCAAA